GACAGAGGGGGCAAGCGUUGCUCGGAAUCACUGGGCGUAAAGGGCGCGUAGGCGGGAUGGCAAGUCAGUCGUGAAAUCUCUCGGCUCAACCGAGAAACGUCGGCUGAUACUGCCGUUCUUGAGGGAUGCAGAGGAGACUGGAAUUCCCGGUGUAGCGGUGAAAUGUGUAGAGAUCGGGAGGAACACCGGUGGCGAAGGCGGGUCUCUGGGCAGUAACUGACGCUGAGGAGCGAAAGCGUGGGGAGCGAACAGG
rnacentral:rRNA from 1 species